UACGUAGGGUGCAAGCGUUGUCCGGAAUUAUUGGGCGUAAAGAGCUCGUAGGCGGCUUGUCGCGUCGAUUGUGAAAACCUGGGGCUUAACUCCGGGCCUGCAGUCGAUACGGGCAAGCUAGAGUUCGGUAGGGGAGACUGGAAUUCCUGGUGUAGCGGUGAAAUGCGCAGAUAUCAGGAGGAACACCGGUGGCGAAGGCGGGUCUCUGGGCCGAUACUGACGCUGAGGAGCGAAAGCGUGGGGAGCGAACAGG
rnacentral:rRNA from 1 species